GGUCUGCACGAAUGCACUCAAAAUUUUCGGUUAUUUGAGUACAAUAAAUUUAAGUUGCAAUUCGGCGUGCCAAACCGGUUUCAACAAAGUGAAUUGCGCAUUGGUAAGGGUUGUUUUCGUUGUAUGCAAAAUGAGUGAAAAUCAAACCAAUGCGUAAUGGAUAGAAUGAGGGAAUGCAUUGUAAAUGUUUCGAUUAUUCGAAUGAAAUUUUGGCAAUCUCGUCAUUCAUAGCAAGCAGAGCAGAAGCAGCAGCGCAUCAAAUUGCGUUUUAAAAAUGCAGAGCUUGGACGAAAGCUCUACCAAGUGCUGUCUUUUCCAUGUGUUUGUAAUCACCUUUUGGAUGCCGCAAUAUCUACGCAUAAAGAUAUUAAAUCGAAACUUUUAAAUGGCGAAUAUAUUUUCAACCUUAA